rnacentral:rRNA from 1 species
CCUACGGGUGGCAGCAGUGGGGAAUAUUGCACAAUGGGGGCAACCCUGAUGCAGCGACGCCGCGUGAGUGAAGAAGUCUUUCGGUAUGUAAAGCUCUAUCAGCAGGGAAGAAAGUGAUGGUACCUGUUUAAGAAGCCCCGGCUAACUACGUGACAGCAGCCGCGGUAAUACGUAGGGGGAAAGCGUUCUCCGGAUUUACUGGGUGUAAAGGGAGCGUAGACGGCAGCACAAGUCUGGAGUGAAAGGCCGGGGCUUAACCCCGGAACUGCAUUGGAAACUGUGCAGCUAGAGUGCAGGAGAGGUAAGUGGAAGUCCUAGUGUAGCGGUGAAAUGCGUAGAUAUUAGGAGGAACACCAGUGGCGAAGGCGGCUUACUGGACUGUAACUGACGUUGAGGCUCGAAAGCGUGGGGAGCAAACAGGAUUAGAUACCCAGGUAGUC